ACGUAUGGGGCUAGCGUUGUUCGGAAUUAUUGGGCGUAAAGGGCGUCUAGGCGGGGUCUUCCUUUUGGUGGUAAAUCCCUGGGCUCAACCCAGGAACUGCAUCCAAAACUGGUUCUCUUGAGUUCGGGAGAGGAGAGCGGAAUUCCCGGUGUAGCGGUGAAAUGCGUAGAUAUCGGGAAGAACACCAGUGGCGAAGGCGGCUCUCUGGCCUAGAACUGACGCUGAAGCGCGAAAGCGUGGGGAGCGAACGG
rnacentral:rRNA from 1 species